UACGGAGGGUGCAAGCGUUAUCCGGAUUCACUGGGUUUAAAGGGUGCGCAGGCGGGCUAUUAAGUCCGUGGUGAAAUCCCGGGGCUCAACCCCGGAACUGCCAUGGAUACUAUUAGUCUUGAAUGUUGUUGAGGUGGGCGGAAUAGGUCAUGUAGCGGUGAAAUGCAUAGAUAUGACCUAGAACACCGAUUGCGUAGGCAGCUUACUACGGAACUAUUGACACUGAGGCUCGAAAGCGUGGGGAUCAAACAGG
rnacentral:rRNA from 1 species